UACGUAGGGGGCAAGCGUUGUCCGGAUUUAUUGGGCGUAAAGAGCGUGUAGGCGGCUUGGUAGGUUUCGCGUCAAAACCUGAGGCUCAACCUCAGUUCGCGUGGGAAACCACCUAGCUAGAGUCCGGAAGAGGAGAACGGAAUUCCCAGUGUAGCGGUGAAAUGCGCAGAUAGUGGGAAGAACACCAGUGGCGAAGGCGGUUCUCUGGGACGGUACUGACGCUGAGACGCGAAAGCGUGGGGAGCAAACAGG
rnacentral:rRNA from 1 species